GAUAAGAGAUGGUAACGCCACGUGUUUAUCAUCAAAAUUAAUUAAUAUAAAUGAUCUUUGCUUUGAAAUCAAAAAAAUGUAUUUAUCAUUUAAGGAUGGAUUCUUGUCAGCAUUUUACGUCGUCAAUGGGUCUCCAUAGAUUUUGCAAGUCGUAAAAUGCAAAUUACAUAUUAAAUAAAUCUGAAUGAAAAAUUAUUGAUUAAUUUAUCAGUUUAUGUAUUUUUGAAUCUAUUUCUAUUAAAAAAUAUAAGCUGUUCGUAAUUUUUUCUUUGAUUUGCGACAAAUGCCAUAAUAUGCGCAGUUCCGUAGCGAAUGUCAACAUGUCCAGGUCGUUUCCCAUAGAAAACCCCGACGGGAUUGUUUUGUAAAAUCUACAAGCUGUGAUCAUUAUUGAAGCAUUGUAGAAGCCCAGGGAUGAUUUAACCAAUUUUAUGUCACCCAUUUCUUUAUGCCCGAGUCACCCGAUCAACCAAAAGAAACUUGAAGGUCACAAACAUGCGAGUUUCCUCGAUCGGCUGGUGUCAUGUCGUGUCACUGUGCAGUGAGAUUGUACAUGAGGAAACAACCCUACAGUUCUUAAUUUACCAAGGAGUGGACUACCUGUAGUUGAAAAAAGACUGAAGGCCAGACUUAGGCAGGAUGAUUGAACAAAUCUGCUUGCAGAUGGACUAUUGAGGCAAAAAAAAUGACUCUCAGCAGGUGAACAGAUGUUCAGCAAGAAAUUCUCACAUCAAAUGCUGUAGAUUACACUGAUGUAACCCCCCUCCCCCCC